GUACCGGUACAACAUCAAUGUUGUACCGGUACAGCAAGCAACAGCAGCAGCAGGUGCGUGGCAGCAGGGAUCUUUUGGUCUUUUGGCUUCUUGAUCUUAUCUCUAAGAUGCAGCUCGACCCUUGCAGCUGUUCAGAGGCUGCUGGAGCUCAGAGGGAAAGGGGAUUAUUGUAAAAGGGUGAAGAAGGUACUUUGGGAAGGUUUUCGCAGCUCUAUCACAAUAGGUAGCUAAGUGGAGACUUGCUAAGCUGGUUUGAGGAGAGUUCUAGUAGCUCUAGAAGCUAGAUUUGCUGUGGUUUUUGUAACCUGAAUCCAGAGGGAGAAUAAGAUUGAAGUUUGGAAAGAGCUUGGAGGCUCUUGUUGUGCUGAAUUACUUGAUAUUGUGAACUAGGUUGAGGAGAUUUCGACUAGCAAGAAGCAGAGUUACAAUCGAGUUCGCAGCGGGUAUUUCCCAUUCUUUGAGCUGAGUUGAUGAAGUGUGAAGCUGAAUUUGAGUACUUCUAUCUUCAGCAAAGUCGAAUUUUCCUGUGGGGGAUUUAAGGUAUUGGAUAGUCUCGACUGAAUUCUAGGAGCUUGGAAAGGUUAAUUUAGUGUCUUCACCUAACCGAAGCAGGGGUUAAGCUGUAGCCUGGCACAAGGUUUGGUGCUCAUUUGGAGAUGAUUAUUGAGACCCUUGAAGCUGAAUUUGGGCUGAUUUGAGGAGGACCCAACUUGGGUUAAAGCAGAGGUUUAGUUUAGACUAAACCUAGGGAAUUUGGAUACUUUGGAUUGCCUACAAUAGUGAGAACAACAAUAAUUGUCAUCGAGCAGGUGGGUUUGACCUAACCAGAGCAAGUGAAUUUCCUCUAUAUUCUAUAUGAUAUUAUAGAACUAUUAAUUAGAUGCCAUUGGAGGGAUAUGCAUGGUUCGUCUGAAUACAUCAUUAAUUAGUGACUUGAUUAUGCUUUUGCAAAGUGGGAAACAAGACAUUCAAAUUAUUGUGCAACAGUACAUGUAAAUUACAUACUUGUUAGGUAGUCAUUCAUCUAGUGGAAACUAGCCUUUUUAUUAUACUUAGAUUCCGACCUAUUGGUCGAGAACAGGAACUUACAUAUUUGAUAUAUGACAAUUGAGAACUGUUAGACUAUGAAUCGUGCUUGCUUGCCAUUGUGCUCAUUCGCACACGCUUGUGAGGGUCGCUCCCCACAAGCCAGCACUCCGGAGUUGGCCUACGUGACAG